UAUUGGAACCAGGUCACACUCAGCUCGGUGUGAUUUCUGCAGGGAUGCAUGCAGCCACGUGCUCUGAUCCCCCCAUUAAGCUGUGCUGCACCCAGCUGAGGGGAUUGCCUCUUACACCCGAGGUCAGCCUUCAAUUUGCAGCUUUGUUUUGUAGAACACAUCCAUUUCCCUUCUGAUCUCCAGAGUGGGCCAUAGAGAAUGAUUGCUGUCAGAAUGCUCUGCAUCCCAUCACCUCAUCGUGUAAUUGCCUUCCCAGUGACAUUAUGGAUGGCUGCAGCCAAUGGUUCUAUUGGGUCUCUGCAUCCUUCAGCUGCCACUUAACACAAUCAUUUCCUUUUGCUGGCUAUAAAUACGUUUGAAUUCUCUGACCUCAUGCUCCAGUAUCGUUCUCAAAGGCAGAACUAUUUCUUAUUCCAUUGCUCUUCAGCUCAUUGUGGCCUUGAAGCUCCCUCAGCCCAACAAGUGUGCAGAGCAGGAGGAAUGCAGCAGGCUGGGAUGAGGCCCUGGUAGGAGCACCCUCUGGCCCAGCCUCCAGUGACAAUUAAGUAGACAAUUAGCAAAUUAUCAUGGCCAUGGACAAGCCCCUGGAACCAGGAGAGCUGCAUGGAUGCUUGCAAACUCACUGCUGUGCUGCUCCUUGUGCAUCUCCUUCUGCAGCCCAUACAGAGGCAGCAGGUGUGUGUCCUCCAGCUCCUGAAUCAGAUACGGUGCUCCUCUCAUUGACAGCAAUUUGCUUGCAUAAAUAAUGAAGACUACAGUCUCUCAUGGCUUGCUCCCCUCGUAUUUGCCACUAAUCCCAGUCUUUUGCUGAAUAUCUGUUUCCUAAUAAUUGCAUCUGUUUUACACUUGGUUCUUUGGUGUACGAUCACUUAUUAGCAAACCUAUUACUGCUCAGAUGUUCUGCUCGCAGUGACCUUGUCCCUAAACCUCUCUGCCUCUCUUCCCUAUUAAAUCACCACACUGUAACUGCUGGAGUGGAAGGAAUUUACUGCUUAAAUAAUUUAUCUAGAUUCAGUACAGAAAGUCUUUGAAGGGAUUCAUCAGCUAAUAAAGAAAAUUGAUUCUGGAAGCCAAAGUCAAUAUGGGGUUAGAGAAACACCAUCACCCUCAUGUGGGCUCUCUUCCAGGAGCCUCUGUUCGGGCUGUGAUCCCUCCUAAGCACUUCCAGCUCUCCCAAACCACAUUGGGGCUCCAUACCCCACACCUGAUGUGCUCAGCAAGGCUUUGUCCAGCACUGGGAGGGCAGAGCAGCAGUGAGCGCAGAGCUGGGAGCAACCUCUGUCCUCCUGAGUGCAUGGCUCUGCUCUGAGGGGAUGCUGUCCUCUGUAUGAAGGGAUACACAUCCUCUGUGUGGUCUGAAUGAUGAUGUUCAGAUCUUACAUACAUGUAAGCAGUGGAACAACCAAGAUACAAUUCAAACGUGCCCUGAGAAAAACAAGUGGGAAGUGAUGUGUGAUGGAGGCAUGGAGGAAAGUGGCACCUUCAGUGGCAGCCCAAAGGAGAUUAAAAAAUAAAAAUGGGCGAAAGAAAAAAGAUGGAAGAAAAUUUGGCAGCAACAUUUGGACAUAUGGCUAAUUUGUGCUUCAUGGGUAUUUCCCCAUAUGCUGCACGUACAUGUGUUUGUUUACCCCCUGUACAGACUACAUGUCAGCAACAGUCUCAAAACCAUCAAAAUUACCUUGUAAAAGGACCAAGCAGCUUCAGGUACGCCUGGCAGACCCCUGGGUGCUCCUCAUGAGCUGUCUGGCCAAUCCACCUCGAUGGCUUUGAGAAACAGCACAGCACGUUUGAGUGCUCCAAGCAAUGCAUGAUGUGUGCAGGGUGGUGAGGACUCUGUGUCCAUUCUCUGAGAGCCCUGUGCUGCACGCAGGGAAAGGAGCCUCUUCUCCCUCCUUGUUGCUCUGCUGGAGGUCGUUGUACCCAUCAAUAAUUCAGGUGCCUGCAGCUAGCAGCAGGUUGAUGCCCAGCUAAUGGGCAUUGGGCUCACUGUGUCCUGCUUGCACUUUGCAGCACAUGCUCACACCCACGAGCAUGUUGGCUUGCUACCCUGCAGCUGCAGGCUCAGCUCUGCAGGAACUUCAAAGCAAAACAAGGAGGAAGAAGUCUGUGCUGGCUGCAGUCAUCAGAACCCAAAAGCACCGUCGUCUCUGCAGGCUUGAUUUAAGCUGAAAAUCCAGACCCAUUUCCUGGGUACAAAUCAUUCGAGUGAGAUGAAACGAUCAAUGGAAGAUAUCAUCUGUGAUUCACCUCCUCAGCCAAAACCAUCUCGUUGGUUUGAGAGACUUAUUGUUGGAUUUGAAUACUGCUUUCCAGGAGUGGGAAUAAAGCUGAGCGAAAUGCAGCUAAUACCCCAGCAGCAAAACAAGAGAUGAGACAUUCAGGAAGACAGAAAUGUGCCAGUUUGGGUCAAGUGCUGAAGCUCAGCAUCCCCAGGGCCUGCAGUGUUGUGUGAUGCUAUGCUUAGGGCAGUGGCAGCCCCAGUGCUGCCCUGCUAUGGGCUGGGGAACCCGGGCACUGCUCUCAAGGACUCUGGUGCCCUUGCACGCAAAGAUUUUUGUGAUCUGUUGAUGGAGAACAAAGUCUCUUUUUAUAGUCA